GAUGAACGCUGGCGGCGUGCCUAAUACAUGCAAGUCGAGCGAACAGAUGAGGAGCUUGCUCCUCUGACGUUAGCGGCGGACGGGUGAGUAACACGUGGAUAACCUACCUAUAAGACUGGGAUAACUUCGGGAAACCGGAGCUAAUACCGGAUAAUAUAUUGAACCGCAUGGUUCAAUAGUGAAAGACGGUUUUGCUGUCACUUAUAGAUGGAUCCGCGCCGCAUUAGCUAGUUGGUAAGGUAACGGCUUACCAAGGCAACGAUGCGUAGCCGACCUGAGAGGGUGAUCGGCCACACUGGAACUGAGACACGGUCCAGACUCCUACGGGAGGCAGCAGUAGGGAAUCUUCCGCAAUGGGCGAAAGCCUGACGGAGCAACGCCGCGUGAGUGAUGAAGGUCUUCGGAUCGUAAAACUCUGUUAUUAGGGAUGAACAAAUGUGUAAGUAACUAUGCACGUCUUGACGGUACCUAAUCAGAAAGCCACGGCUAACUACGUG
rnacentral:rRNA from 1 species